rnacentral:rRNA from 1 species
AGCGAACGCUGGCGGCAGGCCUAACACAUGCAAGUCGAACGAACCCUUCGGGGUUAGUGGCGGACGGGUGAGUAACACGUGGGAACGUGCCUUUAGGUUCGGAAUAACUCAGGGAAACUUGUGCUAAUACCGAAUGUGCCCUUCGGGGGAAAGAUUUAUCGCCUUUAGAGCGGCCCGCGUCUGAUUAGCUAGUUGGUGAGGUAACGGCUCACCAAGGCUACGAUCAGUAGCUGGUCUGAGAGGAUGACCAGCCACAUUGGGACUGAGACACGGCCCAAACUCCUACGGGAGGCAGCAGUGGGGAAUCUUGCGCAAUGGGCGAAAGCCUGACGCAGCCAUGCCGCGUGGAUGAUGAAGGUCUUAGGAUUGUAAAAUCCUUUCACCGGUGAAGAUAAUGACUGUAGCCGGAGAAGAAGCCCCGGCUAACUUCGUGCCAGCCGCCGCAGUAAAAC